AAAUAGAGGAACUUAGAGGAAGAUAGAGUCGGAAAGAGGAGACCGAGAAAUAGAGAAAACGAAGGAAGGUUUAAGAGAGGAAAAAUUAUAAAGGUUUUUAAGUUCUUUCUGGUUUUGGGUUCGAUUAUUAGGGUUUCUCUGUUUCUUUUGGGAAGAGGAUCCGAGAAUCUUAAAUCCUAAUGGCCUCUCAAGGGCAGGGAACUAUUGACCCCGCCGUACUGGACGACAUAAUUCGACGGCUCACGGAGGUCCGAUCGUCCCGGCCGGGCAAGCAAGUUCAGCUUUCCGAGAACGAGAUCAAACAACUUUGCCUUGCUUCCAGAGAGAUUUUUUUUCAGCAGCCCAAUUUGCUCGAGCUCGAAGCCCCUAUUAAAAUCUGCGGUGACAUUCAUGGGCAGUAUAGUGAUUUACUACGGCUUUUUGAGUAUGGAGGCUUUCCUCCUAGUGCCAAUUAUCUAUUUUUAGGGGACUACGUGGACCGUGGCAAACAGAGCUUAGAAACAAUAUGCCUCUUGCUUGCCUAUAAGAUCAAGUAUCCUGAGAACUUUUUCCUUUUAAGAGGAAAUCAUGAAUGUGCUUCAAUUAAUAGGAUAUAUGGGUUUUAUGAUGAAUGCAAACGGCGGUUUAAUGUGAGACUCUGGAAGGCAUUUACUGAUUGUUUUAACUGUCUUCCUGUGGCUGCCCUCAUUGAUGACAAAAUUUUAUGCAUGCAUGGUGGUCUCUCCCCGGAUCUUACAAACUUGGAUCAAAUAAGAAACUUAAGUAGACCUACUCCUAUUCCAGACACUGGCUUGCUAUGUGAUUUGCUUUGGUCAGAUCCUUGUAGAGAUGUUAAGGGAUGGGGAAUGAAUGAUAGAGGAGUCUCUUACACUUUUGGUCCUGAUAAGGUGGAAGAAUUUUUAUCAAAACAUGACCUGGAUCUCGUAUGUCGUGCUCAUCAGGUUGUGGAGGAUGGUUAUGAAUUUUUUGCCGACAGGCAACUUGUCACAAUAUUCUCAGCCCCCAACUACUGUGGUGAAUUCGAUAAUGCUGGUGCAAUGAUGAGUGUUGAUGAAAACUUGAUGUGCUCUUUCCAGAUUCUUAAGCCAGCAGAAAAAAAAGCUAAUAAGUUCAUGAUGACUACAAAAAUGUGAUGGUUGCAAGUUAAUUAUUCUUAGUCUUUAACCAAGGUUGCUGUCAAUAUGAGCUUGAUAAAAAUUUUGGAUAUGCAACUCGCAUAAGUUCAAGGUUAUUUCUAAUGAUCUGUUGAAUAACAACAAAGUAUUGUAGUAUACACCGCUUUUGUCUGGCAUUUGACUCAUUUUCUGGAAAAAGUAAUUGUAGAAGAUUGCAAAGCUUCAACACAUUAUUGUAUCUGUGAAGUGAAGAAGAACGAUGCACUGCAAUUUUUUUUGGGUUCUUUUUUCAUUUUUGGUGGUUAAGUGGGGAGGUAUUCAAAAUGGAAAGUGAAGAAUACUGCAUAAAAAUGAGUCGAUGGCCAGAUAUAGGCAGAAACUUCUAUAUUUUUCACUUUUUUGUGUACUUAAUUUGCAGUACGUUUGUAGUGUAUAAUUAGUUUGGCAACACAUAGAUCGACAUCCCCUCAAGAUUUCUUCUCAAUUUUCUCAAGCUGCAGUAGCAUUUUCCACUCUUUGCUAUUUUUCCUGCUGAAAUUGGCAUUGUUCUUGCGAGUUUUCCCCUUCUCAUGCUUUUUUCUGGAAUUAGAUGGAGUUCCAAAUUCAUAUUAUUGAUAUUCGGAACCGUCUUUUUCAGUUUUUUGGUAACAGUGACUUGAUUCUCCAUACAGAAAGGUACAUGGAUUGUUACA